rnacentral:lncRNA from 1 species
AAAAAAGCGGGCAGACGGACACGGGAGUGCCCGUCUGAAUGCUAGUAGAUAGAUAAAAGGGAUAGAUGAAAAUGGUAUGGCCUUUUUUUCUUCCAAUUUUAUCCUUUAUCAAUUGUUACCAUUACUAUCAAUUAUUAACUUUAAAAAAAUAUACAAAAAAAAUCAUUUAUUAAAUAUGUAAUCUCCAUGAACACAUCAAAUAGCUUCCUCCAACACAUCAAAU